CAUCUGCAAUCCCAGUUAAUCAUUGAGUGCCUACUAAGUGCCAGCCCAGUUCUAGAGGCUGGGCAGGGUGAAGGGUGAGGAGAAUAAAUAUUAGCAAGCAACAUCCAGACUUCAAGGAUCUCAGGAUCGAAUUGGGGGAAUGAACUUGUCUACAUCUCAGCAGGAUGCUAGAAAAAUUAAUCAGGGCCAAUCAAGGCGUAACCCGAAGCCUGGAAUUUUCACUAAGGAGGAGGCAUUCUGAUUACGGGAAAAGUGAGGAAGUCAAUGAGGUCAGGACAAACACCACGGACAAGCAGUUCCUGAGCUGGGUAUUGCAGAAUAAGUUUUAAUGGACAAAAAAGAAAAAUGAAGAAAUGGCACCCAGAGCUAAGGAAACAUCAUGACAAAGGGCGCAGAGUCCCAAAGGAGGGCGCAGUUCACGGUGGCCCAGGCGGGGAUCAAACCGGCAACCUUGGUGUUAUUAGCACCACACUCUAACCAACUGAGCUAACUGGCCAGCCCUGUUAGAGACUUUUAUUUCCCUGUUCUGCUUCAGAGCAGAUUUGAAAUACACCAAAAGGUUCUUCAGGCAGGGCAGUUGGGUUAAUGCAUGAGCUUUCAAUCCUAGCUCCAAACUGCUGUGACACUGGACAAGUCAUUCUGUUUUCCUGAUGCUCAGUUUUCUCAUCUCUUAAAGGAAAUGCAGUUUAAUUAAUGGCCACAUGAGGUGGCUGGGAGGAGUAAAUGAGAGACUGCCUAAAAAGUACCGAGCACAGACCAGCUGCGGUAAACACGGAACAAACGCUAUGUAUGAUUGUUACUCCACACCACCAGUUUACUAAUGGCCAAUGAACCUCCCUGAGGACGUAGCAGAGACUGAGAAAAAAACACUCCAUUUCAGUCGCUUGUUUCCUACCACCUGGCACGUUUGUCCUUUUUCCAAAUCAUCAGCUAAAUAAAGGGUUGUGCCUGAUAACUUGAAUGGUACUUCCGACUCCAAAAAGACCAUUUUCAAUGCCCCCCUCAAGUAGCUGCCCUCUUCUCCUCCUCCCCCCAGGAAGCCUGGCUGACCACUUCAACCUGCAAAGUUUGUCCUCUUUGUGACUGCCCAGCUGUUGUUCACUUCAGGGCGUUCACUAUUAUGUAAACUAGCGCAGGAAAAGGUCAGCUCAGCUACACCCCUGAGCCCUCAGACUGUCUUGGGGUGGGGGUGGGGGUCACAAAAUCUCUGGCAGUGGCUGGUCUAUCCUGUACCCACAAACACACCCACCCAGCUGGCAACUCCCUCCUCCUUUUCUUCCCCAUCUUCCUUAAGUUCCAUGAUGAGCUGAAUUCCUGCUCCCAAGACCACUUUCUCCUUGAAAACUUUAUUGUUCUGAAUAAAACCUGCCACAAUCCAUCUUUCAUUGUGUCUUAAUUCGAUAUCUCUACACUUUAAGGUGUUUGGGGUUUAAGGCUUUGAAAAAAAUUUUUUUCAUCAAGUAUUUAAAUCAUUCUCUCUCCUCUUUACUUAUAGACACUCAAGCCUGCUGAUUAACUUUUCAAUCAAAGCUGCCUACAACACGCACGCUGGCGCUGGUGCAGGCAGCAGUGACUGCAGCCUCGGCAGUAACUGCAAGAGUCAUUUCACUGACUUCCCCUGCAUCCGUGCUGCCCCCGCCUGAAGCAGGGGCAUGUCAGGAAUAAUGUCCCUCCUGUCAACGUCCUGUGAUUCUGUGCCAGAAACAAUUCAUGGAUCACUGACAUGAAGUAGGAAGCACCAUCACUUCAAAAUGUCCUCUGGGUGGAGUUCAGUGUUGCUGUUUCCCAAGCUCACCUCAGAGGAUCGGUGUUUUAUCUUUUCCCAGUACCUCCACCCGCUGCACAGGCGUGAGAGCGCCUACCGGACUCUCAGUACAUCCCGGUUUUGUUCAUUACUACCACUGAGCGCCGUUAUGACCGAGCAGCAGACUGCCACUUCAGUGACAAGCAAAGAAAUAAACAUAACAUCUUUUACAGCUAGAAUAGAGGUCUCUUUUAUCUUCUGGCUUCGGCAGUGAAAACAGAACUGGAAUUGUAUCAUUGCUAAGGAAAACACCAAGGACAAUCUCCUUAUAGUUAUAUUAAUGCAACCUGGCAAUUUUCCAAACCAAAGCGAACGUACAAGAAAUUUAACCAAAUGCCAUAGGAAAGCUUCCUCAAAUUAUCAUAAAACAUUUUUUAAACACUCAGGACCUAAACAACCAUCAUGGUAAGUUUUUAAACGCAUUGCACUUUCACGGGGCAAAGAAGAUUUUUUUUUUCCAGAUGAUCACUCCACUCUCUUUAAAAAAGGCUCCUGCCAAUGUGAGAAAAUGGAGGUGCCAGAGGUGGAUUGUGAAUCAGUGUUAUUACACGUCAUACUGGCAGCCAUUAUCUGUGUGCCUUAGCCUGAACACUAAGUAAGCCAGCUUGGAAAACCUAAAGCAAAAAACAAAUAAAAAUCCUCUGAUUCUGAGAUAAGGAUCUGUGUG